rnacentral:sRNA from 1 species
UAUCUAUACAUUGCUGACAUCUAAUAGG